UACAGAGGGUGCAAGCGUUUGUUCGGAAUUACUGGGCGUAAAGCGCGUGUAGGCGGCGUCGUUAGUCGGAUGUGAAAGCCCUCGGCUCAACCGAGGAAGUGCAUCCGAUACUGCGAUGCUUGAGUGUUGGAGGGGGUGGCGGAAUUCCCGGUGUAGAGGUGAAAUUCGUAGAUAUCGGGAGGAACACCUGUGGCGAAGGCGGCCACCUGGACAACAACUGACGCUGAGACGCGAAAAGCGUGGGUAGCAAACAGG
rnacentral:rRNA from 1 species